GAAGGUCAACCUGAAAGGAAAACACCAAAAGCUUUUAAAAUACUUAUCUAUUGGAGGUGGGGGUACAAUGUAUUCUGCUGCAUGGAUAACUGCAAAAAAAAUAAUCCAAAGUAUUUCGCAACACAACGGCUCUAAAACUAGUUUCACAAACAAAACUUGAACUAAGAACCAAGACAUUAACAAACUGGUACGUUCUCUGUUGCCUUAUCAGACACUGGUGAUGCUUGAAGAGCAAGGCAUUUGGGAUUGAUAUUAAUAGUGGAUUUCAAACUCCAUUUGAACAGAGACGAUGACAAAGAAUAACUAAUCUCAAGAUGCACCCACAGUUGGCAUAGGCAAGAGACUAUUCACUUCAAGGAAGAUGGAUUUCAAUGAGAUAUUUUAACUUUGAUAUUGCCUAGUUUGGGUUUUGCUGUGUAAUUUAGUGGAAAAUUACAGCGUUGAGUGGAAAAAUGCUGGGUUCUGUUGCAGCUGUGAUGACGAAGUUAGUCACUCAUUUUGAGGAACCUGAUCAUUGGUGAUAAUGAGAUCAUGCGCUUGCGAGUCAAUUGUCUUGAGGAACCUGAUCUUUGCCUUUAUAUACAUACCAUGUCAUGAUAUGAUUGGAGGGCCAAGAAAGCGCUCACUUGGAACUCCAAGAGAGUGACAGGUCGUGGACCAGAGUAAAUCCCCCGGGGUGACAAAUAAAUUUGUUGAAGCAAGAACGGUGUGUUGGUUCAGUACAUUUACCGAGUAAAGAUCGAGGGGAAAAGAAUCCAGUUUAACAUUUGGUGUCAGGAGUGGGAUCUCAACGGACAAGUCAACUCAGCGUGAAAUAAGUAUUCAACUGAUCUUGGGCAAGACUGCGGGAAAGUGGCCACCGGGGUGAGUGAUUUUUACCAUUCGGUUUCCUCCAGCUCCAAGUCUAAUACGUAGUUAAAUCAUUGAUACCGAGUCUUUCUUGAUCCCGACGAGAUCCUUGGGUCGAUCAAAGAAGCCAACGACCAAUAGAGAUUACAAAAAAGGUCAGUACUGAGAGAAUAAAAAAGGUCAGUACUGAGGGAAUAAAGAAAAGGCCUGUACUGAGGUAAAAGUACAGAAUGUCACUGCUGACAUAAAAUUUACUUUUCAUUUGAAGGUCAGUACUGAGGUAAAUUUGUUUAGAGGUCAGUACUGAGGGAAGAGGAGAAUGGGCAAUAACAUAGAUGUUAUGGGUGACCCUGAUUCUCCAUUACAGAGAUUGUGUGAAAUUUAUCCCAAACAGACAAACGGGUUACGACAGUUAUCAGGAAAUUCAAAUAAAUUCCUGGGACCAGAUUUUUGGCCUCUGGGAGGGA